GAUGAACGCUGGCGACGUGCCUAAUACAUGCAAGUCGAGCGAACGGACGAGAAGCUUGCUUCUCUGAUGUUAGCGGCGGACGGGUGAGUAACACGUGGAUAACCUACUUAUAAGACUGGGAUAACUUCGGGAAACCGGAGCUAAUACCGGAUAAUAUUUUGAACCGCAUGGUUCAAAAGUGAAAGACGGUCUUGCUGUCACUUAUAGAUGGAUCCGCGCUGCAUUAGCUAGUUGGUAAGGUAACGGCUUACCAAGGCAACGAUGCAUAGCCGACCUGAGAGGGUGAUCGGCCACACUGGAACUGAGACACGGUCCAGACUCCUACGGGAGGCAGCAGUAGGGAAUCUUCCGCAAUGGGCGAAAGCCUGACGGAGCAACGCCGCGUGAGUGAUGAAGGUCUUCGGAUCGUAAAACUCUGUUAUUAGGGAAGAACAUAUGUGUAAGUAACUGUGCACAUCUUGACGGUACCUAAUCAGAAAGCCACGGCUAACUACGUGCCAGCAGCCGCGGUAAUACGUAGGUGGCAAGCGUUAUCCGGAAUUAUUGGGCGUAAAGCGCGCGUAGACGGUUUUUUAAGUCUGAUGUGAAAGCCCACGGCUCAACCGUGGAGGGUCAUUGGAAACUGGAAAACUUGAGUGCAGAAGAGGAAAGUGGAAUUCCAUGUGUAGCGGUGAAAUGCGCAGAGAUAUGGAGGAACGCUAGUGGCGAAGGCGACUUUCUGGUCUGUAACUGACGCUGAUGUGCGAAAGCGUGGGGAUCAAACAGGAUUAGAUACCCUGGUAGUCCACGCCGUAAACGAUGAGUGCUAAGUGUUAGGGGGUUUCCGCCCCUUAGUGCUGCAGCUAACGCAUUAAGCACUCCGCCUGGGGAGUACGACCGCAAGGUUGAAACUCAAAGGAAUUGACGGGGACCCGCACAAGCGGUGGAGCAUGUGGUUUAAUUCGAAGCAACGCGAAGAACCUUACCAAAUCUUGACAUCCUUUGACAACUCUAGAGAUAGAGCCUUCCCCUUCGGGGGACAAAGUGACAGGUGGUGCAUGGUUGUCGUCAGCUCGUGUCGUGAGAUGUUGGGUUAAGUCCCGCAACGAGCGCAACCCUUAAGCUUAGUUGCCAUCAUUAAGUUGGGCACUCUAAGUUGACUGCCGGUGACAAACCGGAGGAAGGUGGGGAUGACGUCAAAUCAUCAUGCCCCUUAUGAUUUGGGCUACACACGUGCUACAAUGGACAAUACAAAGGGCAGCGAAACCGCGAGGUCAAGCAAAUCCCAUAAAGUUGUUCUCAGUUCGGAUUGUAGUCUGCAACUCGACUACAUGAAGCUGGAAUCGCUAGUAAUCGUAGAUCAGCAUGCUACGGUGAAUACGUUCCCGGGUCU
rnacentral:rRNA from 1 species